GUUCCUUCCAGUUACCAAAAUUACAGAUACUUCCGGAAAUCUGAAGUGUUGUAGAAUACUAAAGUACCAGCAUUGAGUUCUCAUGGAAAAGCCUGAAAAGCAAGCUGCAGCAGAUUAAAUUGAAUCAACUCUACAAAAUGUCAGUUCUAAAACUCCCUGCUCCUCACCAAUUGCUUGAGCGACUCAGCUGCAGAACCAGGCUCUAUCCUGUGAAAGUGGUUAUUCCUGUGCACGCAAAAUUCACAUGGACAUCGAUGAGA